rnacentral:rRNA from 1 species
AAUCUACCUUUUACAGAGGGAUAGCCCAGAGAAAUUUGGAUUAAUACCUCAUAGUAUAUUUGAGUGGCAUCACUUGAUUAUUAAAGUUCCAACGGUAAAAGAUGAGCAUGCGUCCCAUUAGCUAGAUGGUAAGGUAACGGCUUACCAUGGCUACGAUGGGUAGGGGUCCUGAGAGGGAGAUCCCCCACACUGGUACUGAGACACGGACCAGACUCCUACGGGAGGCAGCAGUGAGGAAUAUUGGACAAUGGGCGCAAGCCUGAUCCAGCCAUGCCGCGUGCAGGAAGAAGCAUCUAUGGUGUGUAAACUGCUUUUAUACGGGAAGAAACCCUGCCACGUGUGGCAGAUUGACGGUACCGUAAGAAUAAGGACCGGCUAACUCCGUGCCAGCAGCCGCGGUAAUACGGAGGGUCCAAGCGUUAUCCGGAAUCAUUGGGUUUAAAGGGUCCGUAGGCGGUUUGGUAAGUCAGUGGUGAAAGCCCAUCGCUCAACGAUGGAACGGCCAUUGAUACUGCUAGACUUGAUUUAUUGUGAAGUAACUAGAAUAUGUAGUGUAGCGGCGAAAUGCUUAGAUAUUACAUGGAAUACCAAUUGCGAAGGCAGGUUACUAACAAUAUAUUGACGCUGAUGGACGAAAGCGUGGGGAGCGAACAGGAUUAGAUACCCUGGUAGUCCACGCCGUAAACGAUGGA